rnacentral:rRNA from 1 species
GAAGGUGGCCUGUGAGGGUUGCUGGAGGUAUCAGAAGUGCGAAUGCUGACAUAAGUAACGAUAAAGCGGGUGAAAAGCCCGCUCGCCGGAAGACCAAGGGUUCCUGUCCAACGUUAAUCGGGGCAGGGUGAGUCGACCCCUAAGGCGAGGCCGAAAGGCGUAGUCGAUGGGAAACGGGUUAAUAUUCCCGUACUUGGUGUUACUGCGAAGGGGGGACGGAGAAGGCUAUGUUGGCCGGGCGACGGUUGUCCCGGUUUAAGCGUGUAGGUGUGUGUUCCAGGUAAAUCCGG